UACGAGAGGCCCAAACGUUAUUCGGAUUUACUGGGCUUAAAGAGUUCGUAGGCGGCGCAGAAAGUAGGGUGUGAAAGCCCUCGGCUCAACCGAGGAAUUGCGCCCUAAACUACUGUGCUUGAGGAACCUAGAGGUGAGCAGAACUGAUGGUGGAGCGGUGAAAUGCGUUGAUAUCAGGAGGAACACCGGUGGCGAAGGCGGUUCUCUGGGC
rnacentral:rRNA from 1 species